UCAGUUUCUCUCUUGAUGUAUGUUUUUAGUACUCUAUUGUUAAAUUGGAAGUCGUUCAUAAAUCACGUCAAUGGAAUAGAUCGUUAUUUAUAGGGGAGAGAUCCUAGACUUUGUGUGGGCUCGGGUGAAGAUGAGACAAGGUAGGGCAGAGAAGGCCAGAGACAAAGAGGAUCGCAAAGAAUAGUUUGGCUGAGGAGUAGGCACUGUGCAGAGCGGUGGUGUGCGAAGACCAGCAGUGCAGAGGAGUUCGGCGGUGUGAGGCUAGGUGGCAGACGACGUGGAGGACUGCGACUUUGGGUCGUGGAGCACAGAAUACGGACGACGUGGAGGCUUUCUCUCAGCACCUAAAACGUUCUAAUCUUAAAAUAAAUAAAUCCAAAUUUUAUCUGAGAGCCGAAUGUGUUGCAGAAACCAAACCACUUGGGGAAAGGCUUCUGUGCUCGCUGGAACUAAAAGCUGAACCCUCGCCCUUCACCGUACCGCGGUCACAAGAAUCCUCUAUGACGCUGUUAGACGGGACCCCGACCAGCUUUCCUCCGAGACCGGUCCUUUCCUUGAGAUCUUGUUCCAGUAAUCAGUUCAGGAGCUACAUUCCUUGCAACCGGUGGAUCAGAUAGUGGAAUCCAGCGAGGAACCGAGCUCUUUAGAUUAAGAGGUUACUGACAGCUUUCCCACCUGAUUAUAGCGAUGGAGGAAGUUAAAGAUUUUGUGAUUGGUGACAAAUAUAUUGCAGAUAUGAUAAAACCAAUUAGAAAGCCAUUUGAUGAAAUGGAGUCUCAUAGAGAAUGUUUUUCGCAAGACAAAUGUCUAUUGGAGGACGUCAAGCAACAUUUCUGUAACAUCAAGACAUCACUACAGAAGAAUUUGAUGAAUUAGGAACCAAGUAGAGAGCAUUUGAAGAAAAGAAAUAAGAGUAUCAGACAUUGCUUGCAGAAAGGGAGGCAGUUGAUACAACAAAGGAAAGGGCCAUGAGCUGAAAGAUGCUCCUGUUUCUGCUAUACUCGGGGCACAACACAAGAAAUGCAAGGCAUCCCUGGAAAAC